GACGAACGCUCGCGGCGUGCUUAACACAUGCAAGUCGAACGGAAAGGCCCUGCUAUCGAUGGGGGCUCGAGUGGCGAACAAGUGGGUACCAAGUGCGUACCCAGCCUUUGCAUAUGGGAUAGCUUCACGGAACUAAGGCUGAUACCGGCCAGGAGACCCUGUUGAAUGGCAGGGGUUGGUAAGUUUAGGCGGGUGGGUAUGGAUUCGCGGCUUAUCAGCUUGGUGGUUGGGUACUGGCUUACCAAGACCUGGACGGGUAGCAGGACUGAGAGGGGGACCGGCACCAUUGGGCCUGUGCUACGGCCCAGACUCCUAAGGAAUGCAGCAGUGGGGAAUAUAGCACAAUGGGCGGAAGCCUGAUGCAGCAACGCCGCGUGCGGGAUUACGGCCUUCGGUUUGUAAACCGCUAUCGCCUGUGACGAAGCGUGAGUGACGGUAAUGGGUAAAGAAGCACCGGCUAACUACGUG
rnacentral:rRNA from 1 species